rnacentral:rRNA from 1 species
CGGACGGUGAGUAACGCGUGAGAAUCUAGCUAGGUGGGGACAACAGUUGGAAACGGUGCUAAUACCGGAUGUGCCGAAAGGUAAAGUUUAUUGCCUAGAUGAGCUCGCGUCUGAUUAGCUAGUAGGUGUGGUAAGAGCGCACCUAGGCGACGAUCAGUAGCUGGUUGAGAGGACGAUCAGCCACACUGGGACUGAGACACGGCCCAGACUCCUACGGGAGGCAGCAGUGGGGAAUUUUCCGCAAUGGGCGAAA